rnacentral:rRNA from 1 species
UAGGGAAUCUUCCGCAAUGGGCGAAAGCCUGACGGAGCAACGCCGCGUGAGUGAUGAAGGUCUUCGGAUCGUAAAACUCUGUUAUUAGGGAAGAACAAAUGUGUAAGUAACUAUGCACGUCUUGACGGUACCUAAUCAGAAAGCCACGGCUAACUACGUGCCAGCAGCCGCGGUAAUACGUAGGUGGCAAGCGUUAUCCGGAAUUAUUGGGCGUAAAGCGCGCGUAGGCGGUUUUUUAAGUCUGAUGUGAAAGCCCACGGCUCAAACGUGGAGGGUCAUUGGAAACUGGAAAACUUGAGUGCAGAAGAUGAAAGUGGAAUUCCAUGUGUAGCGGUGAAAUGCGCAGAGAUAUGGGGGAACACCAGUGGCGAAGGCGACUUUCUGGUCUGUAAAUGACGCUGAUGUGCGAAAGCGUGGGGAUCAAACAGG